GGGGAUGACAGGCUUCGACGGGGGUGGAUUGCCACGACUUGCAAGCCGAGAGGCGCCGAACUCGAUAAAUCAGCGCACACUUACAAGUGCCAAUCGCACUGACUUUGCGGCUCUUCCACUAGCGGCCUAACCUCCGCAAACGGUAGAACCCAAACGCCCGGCCUGGCUGGGCACGCUCCCCGGGUCGCCCUCAUCCGAUCCGGGAUCAGCGACAGAUGGAUGAGGUGCCGCAUAACAAGCCACGGGUUCAUGCGAAAGAGGCCGAGAGGUCCAGUGGCUGGCCAGAAGGUGAAACCCAGUUUGCCAGGUGCCUUCUGGUGAGAUCAAAAGGCAGACUAAGCUUGUAGACGGUUGAUGGAAGAAACCUUCGGACGCGGGUUCGAUUCCCGCCAUCUCCACAA
rnacentral:tmRNA from 1 species